GGGGAAUCUUCCGCAAUGGGCGAAAGCCUGACGGAGCAACGCCGCGUGAGGGAAGAAGGUUUUCGGAUUGUAAACCUCUGUCCUAAGGGAAGAAGGAAGUGACGGUACCUUAGGAGGAAGCCCCGGCUAACUACGUGCCAGCAGCCGCGGUAAAACGUAGGGGGCGAGCGUUGUCCGGAAUUACUGGGCGUAAAGGGCGCGUAGGUGGUGCAUUAAGUUAUAGGUGAAAGUGCGGGGCUUAACCCCGUGACUGCCUGUGAUACUGGUGUACUUGAGUGCAGGAGAGGGGAGCAGAAUUCCCAGUGUAGCGGUGAAAUGCGUAGAUAUUGGGAGGAAUACCAGCGGCGAAGGCGGCUCUCUGGACUGUAACUGACACUGAGGCGCGAAAGCGUGGGGAGCGAAC
rnacentral:rRNA from 1 species